GAUGAAGAACGUAGCGAAAUGCGAUAAGUAAUGUGAAUUGCAGAAUUCAGUGAAUCAUCGAAUCUUUGAACGCACAUUGCGCCCGCCAGUAUUCUGGCGGGCAUGCCUGUCCGAGCGUCAUUUCAACCAUCAAGCCCCGGGCUUGUGUUGGGGACCUGCGUCCGACGCAGGCCCUGAAAACCAGUGGCGGGCUCGCUGUCCACACCGAGCGUAGUAACUAACCUCGCUAUGGAGUGGCGCGGGCGCCUGCCGUUAAACCCCCAACUUUCCAAGGUUGACCUCAGAUCAGGUAGGAAUACCCGCUGAACUUAAGCAUAUCAAUAAGCUGAGGA
rnacentral:misc_RNA from 1 species